GUAACUCAAAUUUGUAUGCAGUUGGAACAGCGCCCCUAGCGGCAAACGUAGGCAAACGUUCCAACUCCAUACAAAUUUAAGUUA
rnacentral:pre_miRNA from 1 species